AAGGAUCAUUAUCGAAUAAACUUGAACAGGCUGUUGCUGGUCCCGUCUACUGGGAUAUGUGCACGCUUGUCAUCUUUAUCAUUUCUCCAACUGUGCACAUUUUGUAGACCCUGGAGGUUAUUUGUUAUGGAUUUACUUCCGAGUUGGGACUGCUGUGCUACAAUGUCAGCUUUCUCUUGAAUUAUUUCCAUGGCCUAUGUCAUUUCAACCUCUCAAACCUGUUUAGAAUGUUGAAUCAGGUCUUUUGUACCUAUAAAAGUUAUAAUACAACUUUCAGCAACGGAUCUCUUGGCUCUC
rnacentral:misc_RNA from 1 species